rnacentral:rRNA from 1 species
GACGAACGCUGGCGGCGUGCUUAACACAUGCAAGUCGAACGGAAAGGCCCUGCUUUUGUAGGGUGCGCGAGUGGCGAACGCGUGAGUAACACGUGAGUAACCUGCCCUUUACUUUGGGAUACCUUCAGGAAACUGGAGCUCAUACCGGAUAGGAGCUCCUUCUGCAUGGUGGGGGUUGGAAAGUUUCGGCGUUUGGGGAUGGACUCGCGGCUUAUCGGCUUAUUGGUGGGGUAGUGGAUUACCAAGGCUUUGACGGGCUGCCGGCCUGAGAGGGUGACCGGGCACAUUGGGACUGGGAUAGGGCCAGUACUCCAACGGGAGGCAGCAGUGGGGGACAUUGCACAAUGGGCGGAAGCCGUAUGCAGCAACGCCGCGUGCGGGAUGACGGCCUUCGGGUUGUAAACCGCGUGCGCCUGUGACGAAGCGUGAGUGACGGUAAUGGGUAAAGAAGCAACGGCUAACUACGUG